GUCAGAUGUCAAUCCUGUCGCCCUUGGAGUCUUGUGUGCCGCCUCCGCCUCAACGCUGGGACUACGAGAUCUGUAUGGAGAUGAGUUAAUCCUAAGGUGGUGACUGCGACCGCUACUGCUGCUGCCGCUCUGAAAAGUCCUUUUGUUCCAAGGGGGGAAUUCUGAGUUCCAUUCCCCGGGAGAAGACGUUGACUGCAGCGCCCUCUGCAGGCUGACCUGUUAAAUGCCUUUUCACGGAUUGGAGGAAACGGAUUAACCACUUGAAAGUCACCAGUCUGGAAGUAUGGAGGACCGCAGGGGACUCAGGAAUAAUAAUAAAAUAAUACGUUUUCACUAAUUAACGUGUUCAAGUGUGAUUAUUAAUUUAUAAAACAUAUUAAUUACGCUAAAUGGCAAAGAAAUUCAUUAAAAAAUAAAUGAUACACAAAGGGGGUUAGCCUACAAGACAACAAAAGAUAAUUGAAUCAUCACAUAUAGAAGUAGAAAAAUCUAUUUGAAAUGACAUUUUAACAGGAGAAAUUACUCGAUUUUAAUCAGGCAGUUGAAAUCUCAUUAUGAUUAGAUGUUUUGUGAUGCAGUCUUUCAGCACCUUCAUGUAACCUUUCUGUGACACUUUGGGCCUUGUUCUGGAAAAACUAAGUAAAACUAUUCAAAUUAGUCACUGGAUGCAGCAACAGUAAGAGUCUCUGUGGAUGGAACAUUUAGGGAGGGCACAGUUUUUUUACUGCAACCAACACUGGGUCAAGACUGAAGCAUUUGCUCUGCUGUGCGAUGUGUUAUUACGUUUAAUUUAAUUGAAAGCUCAGAUUAAAAUACCGAAUUGAGAUCAAUCUGACACUAGGAAACAAAGGACAGGGAAAGUUGCUGUCUUCGGUCCAGAAAGCUGCAGAGGGGAAGAAACACAAUCUGCUCCAUCACUCCAUGAAUCUCUUGGCCCUAUAAUAUACACACAAAAAAUAAAACAUUUCCAAACAUUCUGUUGCCUGCAUGACUUUUUAAUGCAUUUUUCAAUUAGUUUUACAUAGACAACACCUACAACAUUUUCACAAAAGAGCUAACAGAUGCUGCAUUGCCUAAAAUAAAAUAAAAAAAUCUACGUAACAAAAAUAAAA